rnacentral:rRNA from 1 species
UGGGGAAUAUUGGACAAUGGGGGAAACCCUGAUCCAGCAAUGCCGCGUGAGUGAAGAAGGCCUUAGGGUUGUAAAGCUCUUUCAACUGUGAAGAUGAUGACGGUAGCAGUAUAAGAAGCACCGGCUAACUCCGUGCCAGCAGCCGCGGUAAUACGGAGGGUGCAAGCGUUGUUCGGAAUUACUGGGCGUAAAGGGCGCGUAGGCGGCCUUGUAAGUUAGAAGUGAAAGCCCCGGGCUUAACCUGGGAAUUGCUUUUAAGACUGCAUGGCUUGAGGACGAGAGAGGAAAGUGGAAUUCCUAGUGUAGAGGUGAAAUUCGUAGAUAUUAGGAAGAAUACCGGAGGCGAAGGCGGCUUUCUGGCUCGUAACUGACGCUGAGGCGCGAAAGCGUGGGGAGCAAA